AGUGAACGCUGGCGGUAGGCCUAACACAUGCAAGUCGAACGGCAGCACAGUAAGAGCUUGCUCUUACGGGUGGCGAGUGGCGGACGGGUGAGGAAUACAUCGGAAUCUACUUUUUCGUGGGGGAUAACGUAGGGAAACUUACGCUAAUACCGCAUACGACCUACGGGUGAAAGCAGGGGAUCUUCGGACCUUGCGCGAUUGAAUGAGCCGAUGUCGGAUUAGCUAGUUGGCGGGGUAAAGGCCCACCAAGGCGACGAUCCGUAGCUGGUCUGAGAGGAUGAUCCGCCACACCUGAACUUGGACACCGUCCCGACUCCUACGGGAGGCAGCAGUGGGGAAUAUUGGACAAUGGGCGCAAGCCUGAUCCAGCCAUACCGCGUGGGUGAAGAAGGCCUUCGGGUUGUAAAGCCCUUUUGUUGGGAAAGAAAAGCAGCAGGUUAAUACCCCGCUGUUCUGACGGUACCCAAAGAAUAAGCACCGGCUAACUUCGUG
rnacentral:rRNA from 1 species